AAAAAUAGAAAAGCAAAUAAUAUUCCUCUAUAAAAUAGUAUUUACGCAUACCGAUCUUGUAUGAUAUUGGUCCGAAUUCAAAAUAAUUAGUACAAUAUUGGAGAAUUUCGACUGAUUUGUAAAUUAAAGAAAUUAAAAUAAUUUUUAUUUUUACACACCCUUCAUCACAACCCACGUUUUUCGGCAUCAAAACUACUAUUAAUAAAAUGUAUUUAAUUUGGACGAUUAAUUAUUUGUUACGUUGGCCAAAGUUACUUUAAUUAUGCUACGAACCAGCCAAAAAUUGUUACCCAAUUUCACGAAUUACUAAAAAACUACGGUAUCAACAUUAUUACUUUAAGUUUAUGGUUAGUUCGAAGCCAACUCUGUUGACUGUUUUUAUAAAAAUAUUAUUUUCAUAAUUAUGGUGUAUGUACCUAUAGGUAAAAACCGCAGUAGAUUUUCCCUGUAAUCAGGAAACCGAAGAAAUCGACUUUCCGCCCCAUACACGCGUAUAAAAUUGUUUCCGAAACCCCACAAUUUCCGUUAUUAAGUAAACGAUUUUCUGUGAGUUGAUUUAACAUUGGAACUGCACCACGUAAAAGCUACAAGUGAUACCUUGACUAGAAUAUAGAAAAAAAAAAAGAAAAACAGUAGAGAUUUUAAUAUACCUUGUAUUUCAUACUGACAAUUGAAGUGGCUUCCACGGAAAUGAGUGCGAUUUCUACAAGCCAGUUGUUACAACAAAUAUGAGGGACAUUCAGUUUUAAGUGGUUUGUGAAGAAGAAAACAAGCAAAAUGAUACUUGCAGAUCCCCCCACCCCCCUAUUUUCAAUAGGUUCCGUCACGGGGCAAAGCUGCAUAUAUGUGCCAAAUAUGGAGUCGAUUGCUUCAAAUUUCGGACACUUAUCGUGUCCAAAAACAGUCGAAACGGUUCGAAAGCUAUUCAGGAAAAACCAAAAGACGAGAACGGAGAACGGACAUAAGAUUUUUAUAAGAGUAGAUACUUUCGAAAAAUUCGAUUUCAUCGAUUGUCGAAAGUAAAAUAUCAUCCAAAACUGUAAUUUAGGUAUUCCCAAAAUUCCCAAAUUGGUGACAGGUAGAGACGUGAGUCGUGGUUGACAUUGUUAGGUUGUUUAUAGAUUUCUAUAAACUCUCGGAUUUUUCGAUAAAACUAAAAUCCCUGCAGUUCUUCUAUCAACGAAAAAUCCCAGAGUCUAUAGAAAUCUAUAAAUAACCUAACAAUCUUAACCGCGACUCAGCUCUCUACCUGUCACCAAUUUGGGAAUCGGUCAUCCGAGACGGUGUUUAUGCCCCUCAUUAGCGGCCCUCUCAAACAAUAUAUAAGCAGGUACAUAGUAAAAUGUGAGCCAGUUUCAGUCAAGUUCUGAAGAAACCAACAGUAUGAUUGCCGAAACGUCAGCCUUUUCGACGCAGCAAAAAGCGACGAAGGAGGAAUGCAAAAGUUUCGUAAAAAGUUUUAUUUUACUUUUCUAGUUUAAUUGAAUGUUAACGGUGUUGUCAUCGAUAGUAGAGAAUUCUUUCAGGAAUUCAAUUUGAUCCUCAACAUCAACCUAUCCAUCAAAAUUUCACUAAAUUAAAUAUAUGAAACAAUUACAUCAUCAAAAACACAUCAGUUUAGUUUAUAUUUUCUCCCGAAAUAGUAGAUUAAUGGAUGCUUCAAAACACAGACACAAAGUAUUGAUACUGAACCAAAAAUUAAACAAAUCUCACUCAUUAUUUGAGAUAUCGACAUGAAAGAUGGUAUCCGCAAAGGACUACAUUAUAAAUUUCUUGUAUGUUAAAUCGUGAUGCUCAAGAUCAGUUUAUUAGAGUUUUCUUGAAAUCCUUUUUACAAUUUUUCCAGUUAAUUCUUUAAUAUUGAUUUUUGAUCAUCCUAUAUUUUUUUGUUUAUUUUUAAAAUAUUAACACAGCUCAGCAAAGUACCAUCUACAAGAAAAUUAGUCAUAGAUAUACGACAAAAGCCUUUAAAUCGACAGAAACGGCAAGAGCAAAUAUAGAAUAUUGCGUACUAAAUAAGUCCAGAGUUUUCGGAGGAAUUAAAAAAAAGGCCUUGAUAAACUCGGUGUAAUAUUUUAAAAAAGCAUUACCUUAAUAAACCGAAGGGUCACUAAAGCUAUAUUUAGCGAUAUUGUUGUAUACUCUAUCAAGAUGAGAUAUUUGAUUGAUUCAUUCAGAUCUGCUACAAAGCUAAAAUUAUAAACACAUCUCAACGACAAC